CAAUAGCGUAUAUUAAAGUUGUUGCGGUUAAAAGCUCGUAGUUGGAUUUCUGCUGAGGACGACCGGUCCGCCUCUGGGUGAGUAUCUGGCUCGGCCUUGGCAUCUUCUUGGUGAACGUAUCUGCACUUGACUGUGUGGUGCGGUGGCCAGGACUUUUACUUUGAGGAAAUUAGAGUGUUUCAAGCAGGCUCACGCCUUGAAUACAUUAGCAUGGAAUAAUAAGAUAAGACCUUGGUUUAUUUUGUUGGUUUCUAGAUCCGAGGUAAUGGUUAAUAGGGAUAGUUGGGGGCAUUCGUAUUUAACUGUCAGAGGUGAAAUUCUUGGAUUUGUUAAGGACGGACCACUGCGAAAGCAUUUGCCAAGAAUGUUUUCAUUGAUCAAGAACGAAAGUUAGGGGAUCGAAGACGAUUAGAUACC
rnacentral:rRNA from 1 species